UACGUAGGGCGCAAGCGUUAUCCGGAAUUAUUGGGCGUAAAGAGCUCGUAGGCGGAUAGGCAAGUCUGCUGUGAAAGCUCCUGGCUUAACCGGGAGUGGUCGGUGGAAACUGCUUAUCUGGAGGACGGUAGAGGCUGGUGGAAUUCCCGGUGUAGUGGUGAAAUGCGUAGAGAUCGGGAGGAACACCUGUGGCGAAGGCGGCUGUCUGGUCCGGUUCUGACGCUGAGGCGCGAAAGCGUGGGGAGCAAACAGG
rnacentral:rRNA from 1 species